UCCCUCCCGAAGCUCCGCGCUCGGUCGAUGAGGACGGCGUUCCCCCCCACCGGUGGACGACCAUCAUCGGUAUACCAGUAGCUGUGGAUAGAGUCGAAAAUC
rnacentral:sRNA from 1 species